rnacentral:misc_RNA from 2 species
UCAAAGCAUCAAGCUUGGCUUGUCGUUGGGCCCUUUAUCACCCGGUGAUAGGUCUCAAAUAUAAUGACCGGUGUCACAUCGACUCCUGUGCAACGAGCUUAUAACAGCAUGCAUCUGGUAGUCAUAUGGCCUGGUUAUCAUGUCUUUAUUUCUCAA